UACGUAGGGGGCUAGCGUUGUCCGGAAUCAUUGGGCGUAAAGCGCGUGUAGGCGGUCCGGUAAGUCCGCUGUGAAAGUCGGGGGCUCAACCCUCGGAUGCCGGUGGAAACCCCUUGGCUAGAGUCCGGAAGAGGAGAGUGGAAUUCCUGGUGUAGCGGUGAAAUGCGCAGAUAUCAGGAAGAACACCAAUGGCGAAGGCAGCUCUCUGGGACGGUACUGACACUGAGACGCGAAAGCGUGGGGAGCGAACAGG
rnacentral:rRNA from 1 species